GGUAAGAGCUGUUGGGACUAAAGAAACUGAGCAGAAAACUACAGACAUCUGGAAACUGAGUUGUUAAUUCUCAGUGGGAUCAGCAGGACUAGCAAAGCUCCACCAUGACAGUCAUCUGAUUGACUGAACCCAUCCAAACAUCACUUCAUGGACCUUUAGCUUGUGUCUGUGUGUGGACAGACAUAACAUGAGCUAAUUAUACAUUACUCCUCCACAGAGUGGACCAGCAGAGAGCAGAGGUUUCCACUGGUCAGUCUGCACAGCAACAUCAAACACACCUGGACUCUGUGGUUAUGCGGCUGGAGGACAACAUCACCAUGUUUGUGAGAACGAGCUGAAGAAGAUCCAGAAGCUUCUGAGUCCAGAUCACCCAGAAACUUUAAAGAGCCAGAUGGAGGAUGAGGAGAUGUUUGAAGGAGAGGAUGAAGAUGAAAGAAAGAGCUGCAGAGAAGCAUUUCUGAAGAUCACACUCCACUUCUUGAGGAGACUUAAGCAGCAUGAGAUGGCUGACCAUCUGCAGAGCAAAAUAUUUGCUCCACUCUGUAAACGUGAACUUAAAGCCCAACUGAAGAAGAAGUUCCAGUGUGUGUUUGAGGGCAUCGCUAAAGCAGGAAGCCCAACCCUCCUGAAUCAGAUCUACA